rnacentral:rRNA from 1 species
AGAGUUUGAUUCUGGCUCAGGAUGAACGCCGGCGGUGUGCCUAAUACAUGCAAGUCGUACGCACUGGCCCAACUGAUUGAUGGUGCUUGCACCUGAUUGACGAUGGAUCACCAGUGAGUGGCGGACGGGUGAGUAACACGUAGGUAACCUGCCUCGGAGCGGGGGAUAACAUUUGGAAACAGAUGCUAAUACCGCAUAACAACAAAAGCCACAUGGCUUUUGUUUGAAAGAUGGCUUUGGCUAUCACUCUGGGAUGGACCUGCGGUGCAUUAGCUAGUUGGUAAGGUAACGGCUUACCAAGGCAAUGAUGCAUAGCCGAGUUGAGAGACUGAUCGGCCACAAUGGAACUGAGACACGGUCCAUACUCCUACGGGAGGCAGCAGUAGGGAAUCUUCCACAAUGGGCGCAAGCCUGAUGGAGCAACACCGCGUGAGUGAAGAAGGGUUUCGGCUCGUAAAGCUCUGUUGUUGGAGAAGAACGUGCGUGAGAGUAACUGUUCACGCAGUGACGGUAUCCAACCAGAAAGUCACGGCUAACUACGUGCCAGCAGCCGCGGUAAUACGUAGGUGGCAAGCGUUAUCCGGAUUUAUUGGGCGUAAAGCGAGCGCAGGCGGUUGCUUAGGUCUGAUGUGAAAGCCUUCGGCUUAACCGAAGAAGUGCAUCGGAAACCGGGCGACUUGAGUGCAGAAGAGGACAGUGGAACUCCAUGUGUAGCGGUGGAAUGCGUAGAUAUAUGGAAGAACACCAGUGGCGAAGGCGGCUGUCUGGUCUGCAACUGACGCUGAGGCUCGAAAGCAUGGGUAGCGAACAGGAUUAGAUACCCUGGUAGUCCAUGCCGUAAACGAUGAGCGCUAGGUGUUGGAGGGUUUCCGCCCUUCAGUGCCGGAGCUAACGCAUUAAGCACUCCGCCUGGGGAGUACGACCGCAAGGUUGAAACUCAAAGGAAUUGACGGGGGCCCGCACAAGCGGUGGAGCAUGUGGUUUAAUUCGAAGCUACGCGAAGAACCUUACCAGGUCUUGACAUCUUGCGCUAACCUUAGAGAUAAGGCGUUCCCUUCGGGGACGCAAUGACAGGUGGUGCAUGGUCGUCGUCAGCUCGUGUCGUGAGAUGUUGGGUUAAGUCCCGCAACGAGCGCAACCCUUGUUACUAGUUGCCAGCAUUAAGUUGGGCACUCUAGUGAGACUGCCGGUGACAAACCGGAGGAAGGUGGGGACGACGUCAGAUCAUCAUGCCCCUUAUGACCUGGGCUACACACGUGCUACAAUGGACGGUACAACGAGUCGCAAGCUCGCGAGAGUAAGCUAAUCUCUUAAAGCCGUUCUCAGUUCGGACUGUAGGCUGCAACUCGCCUACACGAAGUCGGAAUCGCUAGUAAUCGCGGAUCAGCAUGCCGCGGUGAAAACGUUCCCGGGCCUUGCACACACCGCCCGUCA